rnacentral:rRNA from 1 species
GAUGAACGCUAGCGGCAGGCUUAAUACAUGCAAGUCGAGGGACAGCACAGGUAGCAAUACUGGGUGGUAACCGGCAAACGGGUGCGGAACACGUACACAACCUUCCUUUAAGUGGGGGAUAGCCCAGAGAAAUUUGGAUUAAUACCCCGUAAUAUAGUUGAAUGGCAUCAUUUGAUUAUUAUAGCUACGGCGCUUAAUGAUGGGUGUGCGGCUGAUUAGAUAGUUGGCGGGGUAACGGCCCACCAAGUCUACGAUCAGUAGCUGAUGUGAGAGCAUGAUCAGCCACACGGGCACUGAGACACGGGCCCGAUUCGUACGGGAGGCAGCAGUAAGGAAUAUUGGUCAAUGUACGCUAGUCUGAACCAGCCAUGCCGCGUGAAGGAUUAAGGUCCUCUGGAUUGUAAACUUCUUUUAUUUGGGACGAACAAGGGCCUUUCUAGGUCAACUGACGGUACCAGAUGAAUAAGCACCGGCUAACUCCGUGCCAGCCGCCGCAGUAAAAC